GGGGGUGUACUGGUUUCGACGGGAUGUGAAGAGAUAGUAGUAAGCACGUCGAGGACUCCGUUGGCCUCGUUAAAAAACGGAAAAACAUAUAAAUGCAAACAAUGAUGAUUUUGCAAUGGCAGUUGCUGCUUAAUUGCAAAUAGACUUGCCGCCAAAAGCGCCAGGUCGCGUCGCAUCGGCAGUGUUCGCAGCUUCUGCGGGGCAUAAUUUUAGCGGACUCGUCAACAUUUAAGAGUUCCUGUAAAUGUUGAUUAAAAUUUGUGGGGCUG
rnacentral:tmRNA from 1 species